rnacentral:rRNA from 2 species
ACGGGGUGCAGCAGGCGCGAAACCUUUGCAAUGUGCGAAAGCACGACAAGGUUAAUCCGAGUGUCUCCUGCUAAAGGAGUCUUUUGUCAGUUGUAGAAUCACUGAUGAAUAAGGGGUGGGCAAGUUCUGGUGUCAGCCGCCGCGGUAAAACCAGCACCUCGAGUGGUCAGGAGGUUUAUUGGGCCUAAAGCAUCCGUAGCCGGUUGCAUAAGUUUUCGGUUAAAUCUAUGCGCUCAACGUAUAGGCCGCCGAAAAUACUGUGCAGCUAGGGAGUGGGAGAGGUACACGGUACUCAAUAGGAGGGGGUAAAAUCCUUUGAUCUAUUGAUGACCACCUGUGGCGAAGGCGGUGUACCAGAACACGUUCGACGGUGAGGGAUGAAAGCUAGGGGAGCAAACCGGAUUAGAUACCCGGGUAGUCCCAGCUGUAAACGAUGCAGACUCGGUGAUGCAUUGGCUUGUGGCCAAUGCAGUGCCGCAGGGAAGCCGUUAAGUCUGCCGCCUGGGAAGUACGUACGCAAGUAUGAAACUUAAAGGAAUUGGCGGGGGAGCAC